rnacentral:lncRNA from 1 species
CCGCGGCCGUCUCAUCAAGAUGUGCGCCUCGCAUACACCCUUUCUUCGGGACACGCGACGACUCUACGCCGGCCUUUCCGGCGCAUUCAAGCGAGAGGAAACAGAUGCGCGCCGUGCCGCGCCAAGCACUCGCUCUGUCGCUGUGCAAAAUAUGUGCCGCGCGUGCCACCACCGGCAGGCGCCCAUGCGUCUCUCGAUUCUCGGCUCGGCUCGCAGCUUCGACGACACUGACGACGUUGCGAACAGCCUGCUCCCUCGCUGCCGGAUGAGUGUGGGCUUUGUGCGUCAACGGGUCCACAGCUGCGUUCUUCGCCCGUUAUCCCUGCGCACGAGUAGGGUUUGGAUACCCACGGCGCACCGGAAACAAGUGCAUAUACACUGUUUUCAUGCGUAUACUGUGAGUGGACCCGUUCGAGGUUGUAACAGGAUCACGCUGUUUGGUGACGGUCCCUUUGCCUGAUCCUAUGCGUCAUCCUUGGGAGACGCCGAAGACAUCCACGCUAAGCAUAUAAGCGUCCUCUAUACCUCAGCUAGACCUCGCAGAACCACGCUGGUGACGGAAGUUCGAUGAGUUACUAUAGUGGUGAAGUCACCGCUUCACGUCACACACACACUAAUGUGCGUGCUGCGGCUUGUGAAUGACCUGGACCGGUUGGCGGCGAUGAUGUGGCUUCAGGCCAGCUGUUGACCUAUGGUGCGGACGGACUCGAUCAAGUCAACGCCGAACUUCUUGCAUACAACGCACACGCCGUGUUAUCCCGCACGGACAGCAUGGACCUUUUCGUGGAAUGGCAGGGCAGAACCAUUGACCUACCGAUCGAUUGCCGAUUGAGCUAAGGAGUGGAAGAUGCCAAAUCGGUGAGGACGUCGCAGCUUGGGUCCUGAUCAGCGCAACUCGCGGUCGCUUCAUGACGCUGUAGCGCCAACGGUUCGUUCAUGCGUGAUAUAUGUGCCGCACGUACCCUGUCUCGCACAGGAGCAAGUCAGGUUCUAUAUAUAGGAAGCGGCGUGAAAACAGCGACCAACGUUAUUCCUAACCUUGCGAAUACAAUCGACAUGUAUGAGCUCUACUGCGGUAGCAAUCAACGUUGACUGACGUAACGUGCUACCGCAAGCAGAAAAGCGAAAUACGAAACGAUGCAGGAUGCAAUGACAAAAAUGUAAGAGACCUAAGUACGCACAUACGUCCCAGGCGAAACGGAUCCCAAAUGGAUCCUCGGCGGUUAUUCAGACACGUUUAAGAACGCCUUGCAUGGCGCAACGACGAAGUCUGCGAGUCGGACUGGAUGCAAGCGUGGCCAGCCGACGAACGCGACGCGUACAAACCCUCCUCUCCCCGCUUGCGCCUUCGUACAGCGUCGCCUGGGUGCUGGACGUCCUCGUGUUACGCGGAAAAGAAGAUUGCCAUGCGCAUCCUUAGGCAACGCAGACGACCCAGCGUGCAGCUGCGAAGUAGACGACGACGAAGAUGUCCGGAAAACGGCUUCAACGCCGCCAAUGGUCGCGCCAUCGCCGUGUCGGACGGCGCUGGGGACCGCCGUGUCUGGUCCAGCAAGAUGUCGGACCCCGUGUACAACCUUCUUAUGGGCCUGGUCGCCGUGGCGGCCGUGGUGGCCGUCGCCUACUACGCGACGUUGACCAUCCUCCCGCGCGCUAUCAUAGCCGUCGGUAUGAUGGCGUGCAUAUGGGGCGUCGUCGAGAACUUCUGGGGCGCCGACGAGCUCGAAGACUGAAGAGGCGCGGCGCGCGUGUCUUAAACGCGACUGCUGGCUGCCCUGCAGAAUGUGCCUACCAGGAUGGAUGGAGCAAACCCGUUGCACACGUUUGGCGAAGUCGCUACACCGAGGCGUGCGCUGUCCGGUUUCAAGUCGAGCGGGCGUGUGUGAGGGAUUGACCAGCUGCUGGAAGACGUUUGCGACGACGAGGUUGUGGUGAUGCGCGUUAGUUAUCGCCGGAUCAUCCUUUGUUCGCGCCUGCGUGACUCUUAUGCAGUAAGUUCAGGCCUCUUAUUCACACAUUUUGUGCGAAGUCGCCGCCAAAAACGUACGCUAUCAAGUCGACGUUGACCGACGCGCCAGCGCCGUCCGACAGAAAAAAUCUUCAGCGAGGAGCCUGUGAUGACACGGGCUAGUCUUACGCCAUGCACUGCUGAGUGCGCCUGCAUUUCGCGGUGGUCAGGUGACCGAGAAGUUAUUGCCGAAACGUAUACGCGUCUCAAAUUCUAGCGAUGCACGAAAACCGCGAACAGUUUGAAGGACAUCUGAGGUGACGACAUGGUGUGCGCCGUCUUCUACGACUACGCCAACCCAUCAGAGUCGACGAAUGCCUUCAAAAGUCUUAAGACGGCGUCGUUUUCGGCGUGAACUGCCGUGCGACGUACGGACGCUUGAGUUUACAUCUGGAACGAAGAAAACUCGGCAAGGUUCGUGACAUGUCGCGACGUGCUCUUAACUAUAUGCCAAACUCCAGGGCCGUGCACUAGGUGCGAACUCGGUGUGUGUUUUGUCACUGGACCAAACCUGGUGUCCACACGUGCGGCGAAGUUCUUGCUCGAGCUGUUUCUGGAUGACACGUGGAGAGCGUGGUGUCACGCGAUAUGCCAAGUGCGUGUUGAGCGGUUGCGACACCCCUGUGAUCAGUAUACCGUGUGAGUUUUAAAAGUGGAUCUCAAAUUGCCAAGCUUCUUACAAUUACGCUGCUCAUUUGCCUGGGCAUGACUGCGGAGCUGACGUGCUUAUAGUGAGCGCCAAGCGGUACAUUAUGUGCAGGCUGACGCGGCAACGAGCGCAGGCCUAUUAGGGAGGACCAGUUCGAGAUCCUGUGAUUGGGAGAACCAACGUCGCAAAAUUUACGAGUUAGAACAACAGUGACAACUAAGCAUGACAGGUGCUGUAUGCGCCGAGCAGUGUACUUCCCACAAUGCGAAAGUCGUGUACAGGAUUGAAAGAGAAAAGCCGCGCAAGCGGGGCCAAUGUCGUGAGCUGUGCCAAAUUUCGGGACACGUGAUGCUUGCCGUGACAACGGGUCUGUGAUGCGGCCAAAAUGUGUACAGUGAAUCUAUGUUGUUCCUACGAAAUUUGCGUGUUUGCAUGAAAGAAAAUCUUGUUUCACUGUAGAGAGUGGUU